rnacentral:rRNA from 1 species
UUCCGGUUGAUCCUGCCGGACCCGACUGCUAUUUGGGUGAGGAUAAACCAUGCGAGUUGUAUGGGAUACCUAAAUUUCCCAUGGCAAACUGCUUAGUAACACAUGAUCAACUUACCCUAUGGAGAAAUAUAACCUCGGGAAACUGAGGAUAAUAUUUCAUAGUUGAAUAGGCUUGGAAAAGUUUUUCAAUGAAAGGGAUAAGAAAAAUGGUUCUUAUCUGCCAUAGGAUAGGAUCGUGGUCGAUUAUGGUUGUUGGUGAGGUAACGGCUCACCAAGCCGAUAAUCGAUAGGGGCCGUGAGAGCGGGAGCCCCAAGAUGGGUACUGAGACAGCGACCCAGGCCUUACGAGGCGCAGCAGGUACGAAACCUCCGCAAUACACGAAAGUGUGACGGGGUUACCCAAAGUGUUCUUAUUGAACUGUGGCAGGUGAGUAAUGUCCCCUGCUAGAAAGGAGAGGGCAAGGCUGGUGCCAGCCGCCGCGGUAAAACCAGCUCUUCAAGUGGUCGGGAUAAUUAUUGGGCUUAAAGUGUCCGUAGCCGGUUUAGUAAGUUCCUGGUAAAAUCAGGUAGCUUAACUAUCUGUAUGCUAGGAAUACUGCUAUACUAGAGGGCGGGAGAGGUCUGAGGUACUACAGGGGUAGGGGUGAAAUCUUAUAAUCCUUGUAGGACCACCAGUGGCGAAGGCGUCAGACUGGAAACGCGCCUGACGGUGAGGGACGAAAGCUAGGGGAGCGAACCGGAUUAGAUACCCGGGUAGUCCUGGCCGUAAACGAUGCAUACUAGGUGAUGGUACGGCCAUGAGCCGUGUCAGUGCCGUAGGGAAACCGUUAAGUGUGCCGCCUGGAAGUACGGUCGCAGGCUAAAACUUAAGAUGCGGGGAGCACACAGGGUGAGCUGCGUCAUGACUCACGCCG